GAUGAACGCUGGCGGCGUGCCUAAUACAUGCAAGUCGAGCGAACGGACGAGAAGCUUGCUUCUCUGAUGUUAGCGGCGGACGGGUGAGUAACACGUGGAUAACCUACCUAUAAGACUGGGAUAACUUCGGGAAACCGGAGCUAAUACCGGAUAAUAUUUCGAACCGCAUGGUUCAAAAGUGAAAGACGGUCUUGCUGUCACUUAUAGAUGGAUCCGCGCUGCAUUAGCUAGUUGGUAAGGUAACGGCUUACCAAGGCAACGAUGCAUAGCCGACCUGAGAGGGUGAUCGGCCACACUGGAACUGAGACACGGUCCAGACUCCUACGGGAGGCAGCAGUAGGGAAUCUUCCGCAAUGGGCGAAAGCCUGACGGAGCAACGCCGCGUGAGUGAUGAAGGUCUUCGGAUCGUAAAACUCUGUUAUUAGGGAAGAACAUAUGUGUAAGUAACUGUGCACAUCUUGACGGUACCUAAUCAGAAAGCCACGGCUAACUACGUGCCAGCAGCCGCGGUAAUACGUAGGUGGCAAGCGUUAUCCGGAAUUAUUGGGCGUAAAGCGCGCGUAGGCGGUUUUUUAAGUCUGAUGUGAAAGCCCACGGCUCAACCGUGGAGGGUCAUUGGAAACUGGAAAACUUGAGUGCAGAAGAGGAAAGUGGAAUUCCAUGUGUAGCGGUGAAAUGCGCAGAGAUAUGGAGGAACACCAGUGGCGAAGGCGACUUUCUGGUCUGUAACUGACGCUGAUGUGCGAAAGCGUGGGGAUCAAACAGGGUUAGAUACCCUGGUAGUCCACGCCGUAAACGAUGAGUGCUAAGUGUUAGGGGGUUUCCGCCCCUUAGUGCCGCAGCUAACGCAUUAAGCACUCCGCCUGGGGAGUACGACCGCAAGGUUGAAACUCAAAGGAAUUGACGGGGACCCGCACAAGCGGUGGAGCAUGUGGUUUAAUUCGAAGCAACGCGAAGAACCUUACCAAAUCUUGACAUCCUUUGACAACUCUAGAGAUAGAGCCUUCCCCUUCGGGGGACAAGGUGACAGGUGGUGCAUGGUUGUCGUCAGCUCGUGUCGUGAGAUGUUGGGUUAAGUCCCGCAACGAGCGCAACCCUUAAGCUUAGUUGCCAUCAUUAAGUUGGGCACUCUAAGUUGACUGCCGGUGACAAACCGGAGGAAGGUGGGGAUGACGUCAAAUCAUCAUGCCCCUUAUGAUUUGGGCUACACACGUGCUACAAUGGACAAUACAAAGGGCAGCGAAACCGCGAGGUCAAGCAAAUCCCAUAAAGUUGUUCUCAGUUCGGAUUGUAGUCUGCAACUCGACUACAUGAAGCUGGAAUCGCUAGUAAUCGUAGAUCAGCAUGCUACGGUGAAUACGUUCCCGGGUCU
rnacentral:rRNA from 1 species